rnacentral:rRNA from 1 species
AUGGCGCUCGCAUCCGGGUUCUCCCCGCCGCCGUCCUACACCCCGGGUGCGUCCCAGCGCGGCCCCUUCUUCCUGGGCUUCGGCUUCGGCGGCGAGUGCUGCAACCCGUCGUUUGCCGGCUACUACGACCACGAGGAGUACGCCCCGUCGGGCCCUUCGCCGCUCACGAUCUACAAGGACUACACUCCGGGGAGCCCGGACUACACUCCCGCGAGCCCCGACUACACUCCAUCAAGCCCAGACUAUACUCUGGCGAGCCCCGACUACACUCCGGCGAGUCCGGACUACACUCCGGCGAGCCCUUCGUGGUCGCUGGAGUACACUUCGUCGAGCCCUGUUCGGCUCGCUUUCAUGAUGCCGUCUCCUCCGCGCGGCGCGUCCCCAGACUACACGCCCCUGACGCCGUCAGAGCACGCUGCUUCAUCACCUUACUAUACUCCGUUGAGUCCUUCCGGUCCCGGGCGCGCUUCCUCGCCGGAUUACACGCCCAGCACGCCGCCUCCGUCGCCUCUGGUGGUGUCUGACGCCGAGUCGUGCGCAUCGGCGUAUUACACACCGUCAACUCCUUCCAGGCGCGCCGAGUCGCCGGACUACACGCCCAGUACGCCGCCUCCAUCGCCCCUGGCGUCAGAAGCAGACUCGACCACGUCUACAGCACGCUGCCGCCACCAUCCGUACCAGAGGAGCGGCGCCGGCCGGAUCAGGCGCGGCGGACGUCAGCGAGCCUGGGGAUAUUGA